rnacentral:rRNA from 1 species
GAGGCAUACCCCCCGAACUGAAACAUCUAAGUAGGGGGAGGAAGAGAAAACAACAGUGAUUCCGCAAGUAGUGGCGAGCGAACGCGGAACAGCCCAAACCGUGCCCUACGGGGUGCGGGGUAGUAGGACCUGCAUAAAGCAAAGACUCUUAAAUCGAAGCUGCCUGGAAAGCAGCGCCACAGAAGGUGAAAGCCCUGUAGGUGUACGGAGUGUUUGUGGGCGGGUAUCCUGAGUAGCGCGAGGCCGGUGAAACCUUGCGUGAACCAGCCGGCACCAUCCGGUAAG